UACGUAGGGGGCUAGCGUUGUCCGGAAUCAUUGGGCGUAAAGCGUGCGUAGACGGUUACAUAAGUCGGGUGUGAAAGCCCCGGGCUCAACCUGGGAAUUGCAUUCGAGACUGCGUAGCUAGGGUGCGGAAGAGGGAAGCGGAAUUUCCGGUGUAGCGGUGAAAUGCGUAGAUAUCGGAAGGAACACCAGUGGCGAAAGCGGCUUCCUGGUCCAGCACCGACGUUCAGGCACGAAAGCGUGGGGAGCAAACAGG
rnacentral:rRNA from 1 species